AGCUACACAUGCAAGUCGAGCGGUAGCACAGAGAGCUUGCUCUCGGGUGACGAGCGGCGGACGGGUGAGUAAUGUCUGGGAAACUGCCUGAUGGAGGGGGAUAACUACUGGAAACGGUAGCUAAUACCGCAUAAUGUCGCAAGACCAAAGUGGGGGACCUUCGGGCCUCAUGCCAUCAGAUGUGCCCAGAUGGGAUUAGCUAGUAGGUGGGGUAACGGCUCACCUAGGCGACGAUCCCUAGCUGGUCUGAGAGGAUGACCAGCCACACUGGAACUGAGACACGGUCCAGACUCCUACGGGAGGCAGCAGUGGGGAAUAUUGCACAAUGGGCGCAAGCCUGAUGCAGCCAUGCCGCGUGUGUGAAGAAGGCCUUCGGGUUGUAAAGCACUUUCAGCGGGGAGGAAGGCGUUAAGGUUAAUAACCUUGGCGAUUGACGUUACCCGCAGAAGAAGCACCGGCUAACUCCGUGCCAGCAGCCGCGGUAAUACGGAGGGUGCAAGCGUUAAUCGGAAUUACUGGGCGUAAAGCGCACGCAGGCGGUCUGUCAAGUCGGAUGUGAAAUCCCCGGGCUCAACCUGGGAACUGCAUUCGAAACUGGCAGGCUAGAGUCUUGUAGAGGGGGGUAGAAUUCCAGGUGUAGCGGUGAAAUGCGUAGAGAUCUGGAGGAAUACCGGUGGCGAAGGCGGCCCCCUGGACAAAGACUGACGCUCAGGUGCGAAAGCGUGGGGAGCAAACAGGAUUAGAUACCCUGGUAGUCCACGCCGUAAACGAUGUCGAUUUGGAGGUUGUGCCCUUGAGGCGUGGCUUCCGGAGCUAACGCGUUAAAUCGACCGCCUGGGGAGUACGGCCGCAAGGUUAAAACUCAAAUGAAUUGACGGGGGCCCGCACAAGCGGUGGAGCAUGUGGUUUAAUUCGAUGCAACGCGAAGAACCUUACCUGGUCUUGACAUCCACAGAACUUUCCAGAGAUGGAUUGGUGCCUUCGGGAACUGUGAGACAGGUGCUGCAUGGCUGUCGUCAGCUCGUGUUGUGAAAUGUUGGGUUAAGUCCCGCAACGAGCGCAACCCUUAUCCUUUGUUGCCAGCGGUUAGGCCGGGAACUCAAAGGAGACUGCCAGUGAUAAACUGGAGGAAGGUGGGGAUGACGUCAAGUCAUCAUGGCCCUUACGACCAGGGCUACACACGUGCUACAAUGGCAUAUACAAAGAGAAGCGACCUCGCGAGAGCAAGCGGACCUCAUAAAGUAUGUCGUAGUCCGGAUUGGAGUCUGCAACUCGACUCCAUGAAGUCGGAAUCGCUAGUAAUCGUAGAUCAGAAUGCUACGGUGAAUACGUUCCCGGGCCUUGUACACACCGCCCGUCACACCAUGGGAGUGGGUUGCAAAAGAAGUAGGUAGCUU
rnacentral:rRNA from 1 species